GCCAUUUCCCCCAGCUACAAUACCUGCUUUCACUUUGAAAAUGGAAAGUGUGGCUGACUGAACAGCUUUUAUGGUUUUUCUUACACACAUACAUCUCUCAUACAUAAUUACCACAGAAAGUACACGCCUUACAGCCAGUCCCAAGCAAAAGCCAGGUUUUGACACUUAUUUAUAAAUCUUGCUCCUGAAGAAAAAAACUCCUGGAGGCAAUGUUGAAAUAAGAAUCAAGGAACGCUCAGCAGGAGCAGAUGCACCGUGACACACAUACGGAUGCAGCCAGCUAUUCCCAACAAUCAUGAAUUUUAAGCCCUCUGGAUAACAAAAGCAGCAAGACCAGGGAUGGCAGGCACGGGAGAGCUGUGGAUUGGGGCAUUUCCAUGCACAGCAGAAGACAGGAGCGCUACAGCACCUGAAGUCUUGUCCUGCUGAUGCUGCCUCCUCCAUCGAGCUCCCAGGUGCAUUCAAGAGCACCCAGAGGUGCCACCCAUCUCUGAUGUCCCUUCACCGCUCCCCACUCCCCAGGCAGAAGCCCCUGCUUUGAAGGAGGCUGGAUUAGAGACCACCUGACGCUCCCUCCAAUUAUGCCACGAUCACAAAGUUCAGCUUUGCUUGAGGGAGGAAGAGAAAGGCUGAAGAAGAACGCACCCGUCCGCUCAACCCCUGCGCAAACUUCCCGGUUACAAAACAAGUAAGGAAAUCCCCUUCCCCGGCGCGGCGGACUCACCUUCCGCCCGCCGCAAGGUGCUGCCCGGCUCUCGCCCGGCUCCCCGCCCGGCCCCGCUGCCCACACCGCCCCUAUUGUCGGCCCGGCGCCGCCCCCCGCACCCUGCCCGCCUUGCCGCGGCCAUUGGCUCCGGGGGGCCCGCCCCGCAGCCCCCCUGCCGCCAAGGUGGGCAGCCGAGCCCGCCGGGGCGGGGAAGGGAGCGGGUAAGGGGUAGGGGGCAGGUCCUUCCCGCUCCGCUCGGCGGCGGCCGGGGCGCGGCAUCGCAGCCGAGUGGCCCGCGGUGGAAAGUUUUUUUGGGAGGGGGGUGGUACCUUCGCGGCGCCGCAGACCGGGACCCCGGAGCGUGGUGCGCUGCCUCGGGGAGCCGCGGGCUGUGCUCCGGCCGUGCUGCGGCUGCAGGCGGCUCCCGGAGCCCCGCAGCUCCGCCGGGCGGAGGGCGGGAGCGGCGCUGGCCUGCCUGGGACGCGGGAGUCUCUGGUGAUCACGCCAUCAGCGGAGCUGCCACGCGGGGAGUGGAUCGCCGGCAACUGCACCCUUGGCGAGCGGCGCUGCGAUGACUUUAUGUGUGCUGCCCGUAUCGCGCUGCGCUAUCGCGGAGCCGGCUCCAUUGUGCUGAGGUCUGUGUGCGUGCAGAUCCAAAAAAGGCAAGAAUAAAAUGGGCUCUGCCCUGCUGCUGUGUUGCACAA